GCUUCCUCCAUGGAGCCCUGCCUGAAGUUGCCCUAUGUCAUGUGAUGGUGGUCGGCAGGCUCCGAGGAGGAAGCAUACUUGCAGUGUGCUAGGAUGCGGAUUUCACCUUGUGUGUGUGAGGAGCUUUGUCCCGGAGCACUGGGAUGGAGAAACAAUUAUCCAGCACAGUUUCCACCUGCUACAUAUCCUGCCUCUCCAGUCAAAGAGGACUGACAGACCUGUCUACUAAUUUACAUAAAUGAAGAAGACUCAUAGCAUAGCAAUUGAAGCCUUUGUGAAAGUCUCGACUAUAUGCCAAUUUGCUAUGAAUAGGUACAUCUUGCCACUAAGAAAUAUAUGAAAGUGAACAUUAAAUGAACAUAUGGUGUAAACAGCCUGAAUCUAUGAAAAAGACCCACUUGAUUCUUCUCAUACAUCUUAAUUUCUCACACAAAUAAACCAGGAUUUUAAGAAAACGUG